GUUGAUCCUGCCAGUAGUGAUAUGCUUGUCUCAAAGAUUAAGCCAUGCAUGUCUGAGUACAGACCGAUCUAAGGUGAAACCGCGAAUGGCUCAUUAAAUCAGUCAUAAUUCCUUGGAUAGUGAAAAACUUCCUCGGAUAACUGUGGAAAAUCCAGAGCUAAUACGUGCAACUGAGCUCCGACCUCGGCGAAAGCCUUGGGAAGAGCGCAUUUAUUAGAUUCAAAACUGACCGAUGUACUCCUUCGGGAUGCGUCGUUUGUCUAAAGUUUGAUGACUCCGGAUAACUUAGCCGAGCGCUACGGUCUUAGUACCGGCGCCGUAUCUUUCAAGUGUCUGCCUUAUCAGCUUUCGAUUGUAGGUUAAACGCCUACAAUGGCUGUAACGGGUAACGGGGAAUCAGGGUUCGAUUCCGGAGAGGGAGCCUGAGAAACGGCUACCACAUCUAAGGAAGGCAGCAGGCACGCAAAUUACCCACUCCCAGCUCGGGGAGGUAGUGACGAAAAAUAACGAUGCGAGACUCUUCCGAGGCCUCGCAAUCGGAAUGAGUUCAUUUUAAAUCUUUGGACGAGGAUCCAUUGGAGGGCAAGUCUGGUGCCAGCAGCCGCGGUAAUUCCAGCUCCAAUAGCGUAUAUUAAAGUUGCUGCGGUUAAAAAGCUCGUAGUUGGACUUCCUAGAUCCAUUUCGCGAGCGAGUCGCUCGUCGAUUUAUCGUUUCGUGCCAGUUGCUCGACUAAAGGUCGCGAUACCGUAUCUUUGGUGCGUUUCUCUCUUUCGGGAGGGGUUCAAUCCUUGGUCGGUCGCGUAUCCCCGAAUCUUGCGUACGGCGAGGCUUUGUCUUCGAGUAUUGCUCGUUCGCGUUUGGUACAAUUAAAAUUUUGUCGGCUCGCUCGGAGUGCUCUUUACCGAGUGUUCCAGGGUGGCCGACACGUUCACUUUGAAAAAAUUAGAGUGCUUAAAGCGGGCUUAUACGUGGCCUGAAUGUCUGUGCAUGGAAUGAAGUAACAGGACCUCGAUUCUGUUUUUUUUGUCGGUUUUAUUGAACCGAGGUAAUGAUUAAAAGGGACAGACGGUGGCAUUAGUAUUGCGGCGCUAGAGGUGAAAUUCUUGGACCGCUGCAAGACUAACUACUGCGAAAGCAUUUGCCGAGAAUGUUUCAUUAAUCAAGAACGAAAGUUAGAGGAUCGAAGGCGAUCAGAUACCGCCCUAGUUCUAACCCUAAACUAUGCUAACUAGCGAUCCGCCGGAGUCAAUCCCACGACCCGGCGGGAAGCCCAGGGAAACCAAAGUCUUUGAGUUCCGGGGGAAGUAUGGUUGCAAAGCUGAAACUUAAAGGAAUUGACGGAAGGGCACCACCAGGAGUGGAGCCUGCGGCUUAAUUUGACUCAACACGGGAAACCUCACCAGGCCCGGACAUCAUAAUGAUUGACAGGUUGAGAGCUCUUUCUCGAUUUGAUGGGUGGUGGUGCAUGGCCGUUCUUAGUUGGUGGAGUGAUCUGUCUGGUUGAUUCCGAUAACGAACGAGACUCUACCCUACUAACUAGUCGGCGGAUCGUAACCCUGAGAUGGUAAUGUUUGUAUAGGUUGGUUUGUCCGAGAUGGCGUGCGCGUUGGCGCUGUAUUUCGUUACAGGUUUCGGAAAGAGAGCAUUCUGUGUGACUCGUCGUGACUUGGCGUUUAUAUAGUCGUUGGCGUGUCGUCGUCGGAGCUUCUUUCUGAUUACUGCUUACUGCUGGGGGCGUCCGUCGCAAUAUAUCUUCUUAGAGGGAUCAGCGGCGUAUAGCCGCACGAGAAAGAGCAAUAACAGGUCUGUGAUGCCCUUAGAUGUUCUGGGCCGCACGCGCGCUACAAUGUAGAGACCAGCGUGCUUUCCCUCUCCGAAAGGAGCGGGUAACCCGUUGAAACCCCUACCCGAUUGGGAUUGGGGAUUGCAAAUAUUUCCCAUAAACGAGGAAUUCCCAGUAAGCGCGAAUCAUUAAUUCGCGCUGAUUACGUCCCUGCCCUUUGUACACACCGCCCGUCGCUACUACCGAUUGAAUGAUUCAGUGAGGGCAUCGGACUGGCGCCUUCGGUUUAGUAAAAUAGACCUUAGGCUGACGGAAAGAUGUCCGAACUUGAUCAUUUAGAGGAAGUAAAAGUCGUAACAAGGUUUCCGUAGUGAA
rnacentral:rRNA from 1 species